GCACAUUGAACUAUAAAUAAACUGGAAGGCUAACUGCUAUGAUGAAGGCCUAUGAUUUGAUGAAGCCAAAAUAGUUUUUCUGAGUUAUGAGCAGAAAUACUUGACCCCAAACGUCGGGCUAUAUAUCAAAUUGAAGCUAUUGAAAAUUGCUAUUCGGUGUGGAAAUUUCAAGACUUCAGCGAAAAGAAAAAUAUUUAAAAAAUACAAAAACAACUGCAAAACGGCAAAUUAUCGGUAAUUAUGUUUGUAAUUUUUCAGUACUUCCCUUUUAGCUAAAAUCUUGAAAUUUCUACACCAAAUAGCGUUUUUCAAUAGCUUCAAUUUGAUAUAUAGCCCA